rnacentral:rRNA from 1 species
CCCCUGUGAACAUUCAAACCUGCUCUCGUAGCCCAGUGCGAUCCAGCAUCCCGGUAAAUCAUUGUCGAACAGUAUUGAUUCGGGACUUCUGACAAAUGAGAAGUUACAGUUACGAUUGAGCGGAGAUAGCUGCAUGGCAUCCCGAAGCAGUCAGUGUCUGAAAGUGUCAUUGAUUGUCUAAGGAUCUCGCCUCAACGAUUGCCAGAGGUCGCUCACCGACCGGCAGACAUGCAACCGGGUCCCCACGCCCCUUUACAACCCCAUUACCUCUGUGAGUCGCGGGAAACUAGCGGCUAAAAAACCUCGAACAACUGUUAACAAUGGAUAUCUUGGUUCUCGCAACGAUGAAGAACGCAGCGAAAUGCGAUACGUAAUGCGAAUUGCAGAAUUCAGUGAAUCAUCGAAUCUUUGAACGCAAAUUGCGCUCUCGGGUUACCCCCAAGAGCACACCUCUCUGAGUGUCGGUUUAACCAAAUGUCACCAAUUUAUUGGUGUACGACAGUCUGAGGGUAAGGAGCUUCGGUUUCUUUCCCUUUAAAUCUCAGCCUCACUACUGUGUGUGUUAGUGGCAAGUUGCUUUCACUUAAUUGUGAAUACAAUCCGCGGACCCUAUGUUGUGAAGCUUAAAAGAAACAAUGAAGAAGUUUGCUUUAUCAUCAAAUAUGAUUUUAUGAAGUUUGAUGGUGAAGUACACUUCCGCAUCUAUGAAUUAGACCUCAGAUGAAGUGGGAAGACCCCCUGAAUUUAAGCAUAUUAUUAAGGGGAGGAAAAGAAACUAACAAGGAUUCCCCUAGUAACGGCGAGUGAAGCGGGAAAAGCUCAAAUUUAAAAUCCACUGGUCUAA